UCUGGUGUCAAUGAUGACUGAAACACUUUUUCCCCAGCAGAUGACAAUGUUGCUGUUCGGUACUUUAGCCAAACUUUGUCUGAUGCACCAGA
rnacentral:snoRNA from 1 species